rnacentral:rRNA from 2 species
UACAGAGGGUGCAAGCGUUAAUCGGAAUUACUGGGCGUAAAGCGCGCGUAGGUGGUUUGUUAAGUUGGAUGUGAAAGCCCCGGGCUCAACCUGGGAACUGCAUCCAAAACUGGCAAGCUAGAGUACGGUAGAGGGUGGUGGAAUUUCCUGUGUAGCGGUGAAAUGCGUAGAUAUAGGAAGGAACACCAGUGGCGAAGGCGACCACCUGGACUGAUACUGACACUGAGGUGCGAAAGCGUGGGGAGCAAAC